UGCUAGUUUAUCAUUGCAUAUUGGUUGUGAGAUGAUACUCUCCUUCUUGACUACCACCCAAAUCAAAGUCUUGGACUCUUGAGUUUUCAUUUCACUAUCUGAGGCUGAACCACUUUUCCUUUCUAUUAUUUCUUUCUUCUUCUUUCAUACGACCCUUCCCACGUUCACUCUUCUAACAAAACUUGGAAAUUUUGCUGAUUUAGCAUGUAAUAUAUUCUUUUGACGUGGUAAUCUUAUUGCUUCUAUAAUUCACCAAUUUCUUAGGUAGUUGCACGUACUCUUCUUUGUUCAAAGAUCUCUUAUUCAUCUUCUAUCAUGCUUUCAUAAAUACUGCUUUGCAGUGUUUUUUGUUCUAACGGCCUGUUUAUUCCCUUCAGAAAUACAUGCCAGAUUUGGCUGGACUUUUUUCGCAUGUGCUCGUCGAUGUCAGUAGUAUAAAGACUCUUUGCGAUCGCUGGUAUCCAAGAGAUCGGAAGAAAGCCCCGCCAAAAGAGAAUAAACACAGGGCUAUGGAUGAUAUCAGAGAAAGCAUAAUGGAACUCAAAUAUUACAAGGAAAAUAUAUUUAAGAAUUCAAAAAAGUGAUGCAAGAGGAAGCACCAUAACCAGAAGAUUGCAUGCUUGAACGGUACGGAGAUUUUACUUUAAAUUUCACGUCUAUCAUUCAUCUCCUAAUUCAAUUGUGUAUAAUGUACUACUAUCUUCUGUUAUCGUGGAUGUUCUGCUGUUAAGUGGUGGUUGGAUAGACUUUUACAUCUUACCACUUUGUAAAGUUUAACUCUUUAAGGUGCGUAUAAAUUUAAUUGAUGAAAUAUUUAUUUAUAUCUUAUCUGAAAGUUCUUUAGCUGAAAUAGUUGCUGGAUAUAUUGCUCGGAGCCUAUGUAGUAUGAGAAGAUUUUAUGCAUAUGAUAUCUUAACUGAAUUUGCGAAAUCCAGAAAUAUUAUUUAUGAACAUGCGUGGUGUGUACCAAUUUUGUUGAAAUGAACUGAUAAAGGGGUAGGAUAUGCUCGUUCAAAAACUAUACAUCUUGAAGCUUUUUCUUGAGUACAAGGAUCAAGGAUGUUUAUUUGCUAUUUUCUUUAUAUUUAAGGUAUUUUGUUUUGAUAAACACUUAGUAAUUCAAAGAUGUGGCAUUCUCUGUCAAAUUAAUGGUGAAGAAGGAGAAGGCAGCCAUGGGAGUGGAGCUCGAGACUGGGAGAAGAAAAGAGGGAAAAGGCUGGAAAAAAUAUAGAGGAAGCCUAUUUUCGUCUUUCUUAUUUCUUUCUUUUAUGAAUUCUUACUUAAAAGAUCUAGUUGGAUCUUCAAGAAAAACGGUGACAUACAAUCUACCAACGAUUUUUCGAAGCGAAUAACAACCUAAAUUCACGACAAAGAAUUGAAGGUGUGUGAAUUUUUUUUUAAAAUUAUUAAACCCUAAGAUGAAUACAUAGUGAUAAACAAAACAUAUAGCUUGAACUAUCAUGGAGAUCAUAAUACUCUUUAUUCCUAAUACUAAUUAGCUAAUUAUUCCAAUGCCA